UUGUGUUUUAGCUUUUAUUUUCGGAACUCUAUUAACUACAAACUUGGCUAUUCAAACGGACUCUGAUUGAUUGCAAUAACGACAUACUCAGCCUGGGAUUUAUGGACUUUUGUAUUGCUCAAACGAUAACGUGGCACCCGUUAAGGACUUACGAUUUACACAUGAUUUUGUAUGGCUCGGCUGGGGUGGUUCUAUGGUGUUAGAAAAUGAGCAGAUACUUAAUUGUACACAACAAUGGAGAGCACCUCGAUCGGUUACAGCUCAUGAUCUUAUAUACACAACAUGUUGGACCCAAGCCCAAGAUACAACACAAAUGCAUCUACUUCAAAUCUUAGCAGAAAAUGUGUGCUUUGCAGUAGAACACUAGAGCCUAGAACACGUUCACAUCAGCUCAUGUCCCUGAGAACUAACACUCAACAUCAUAUUAACAUCAGGAAUAUAAUUGUGGAACAACGACUAACUCCAUUAGAGGUUACUGCAAAUGACUACAUCUGUGGGGCUUGUCACACAUUAUUGCAAAGAGAUACUUCACAAGACUCUCCAUAUAUGCUAACCGGUGCCCCGGUAGGUCACCAACAAGUUUGUGUUGGAUGUGGUUGUUCAUUAUUGCGAACUCGAAGUCAUUGUUUGGAUACAGAGAAUAAUCAAGAUAUAUUAAACAUUGUUCGAAAUUGGAUUCAACCCAGAGAGAUUCGUCCUUCAGAUCUUCUUUGCCAUAUAUACUAUCAGAGAGCACGAAUUACUACAGUUGGUGCUUAUUUAAUGAAGCUGAGGACCGGUGAUGAUUCAGAUGACAGAAUAGCUACAUUACUUGGCAUUUCAAGGAGUACUCUUACAAAAUAUGUAAUGAAAGCACGCAGUAUGAUGGAGGAACAUUUCGUACCAGCACAUUUAGGGUUACAACAUAUUAGUAGAGAGGAAGUAGCCCAAAGAAACCUUUAUGUUCCAGUCUCUUUUCGGGAAGCCAGGAAACGAUUUACCACAAAGAAAGGCUAUUGUCAUCAUGGAUGGUACAUACAUUUAUGUGCAAAAAAGUAGCAAUUAUGCAUACCAAAAAAAAACUUAUUCCCUAUACAAAUAUCGGAAUCUUGUUAAACCAUUUAUGGUACUUUGUUGUGAUGGCGACAUCAUUGAUGUAUUGGGCCCAUAUUUAAUAGAAAAUGUAGAACAUGACCAUUAAUAAA